rnacentral:rRNA from 1 species
GUGGGGAAUAUUGGACAAUGGGCGCAAGCCUGAUCCAGCAACGCCGCGUGAAUGAUGAAGGCCUUCGGGUCGUAAAGUUCUUUUGGUAGGGAAGAAAAUGACGGUACCUACAGAAUAAGCUCCGGCUAACUUCGUGCCAGCAGCCGCGGUAAUACGAAGGGGGCUAGCGUUGUUCGGAAUUACUGGGCGUAAAGCGUGCGUAGGUUGUUAUUCAAGUUAGUGGUGAAAGCCCAGGGCUUAACUCUGGAACUGCCAUUAAAACUGAAUAGCUAGAGAGUGUUAGAGGUAAGUGGAAUUCCUAGUGUAGGAGUGAAAUCCGUAGAUAUUAGGAGGAACAUCAAUGGCGAAGGCAGCUUACUGGGUCACAUCUGACACUGAGGCACGAAAGCGUGGGUAGCAAACAGGAUUAGAAACCCGUGUAGUCC